UACGUAGGGGGCAAGCGUUAUCCGGAUUUACUGGGUGUAAAGGGAGCGUAGACGGCGAUGCAAGCCAGAUGUGAAAGCCCGGGGCUCAACCCCGGGACUGCAUUUGGAACUGUGUGGCUGGAGUGUCGGAGAGGCAGGCGGAAUUCCUAGUGUAGCAGUGAAAUGCGUAGAUAUUAGGAGGAACACCAGUGGCGAAGGCGGCCUGCUGGACGAUGACUGACGUUGAGGCUCGAAAGCGUGGGGAGCAAACAGG
rnacentral:rRNA from 1 species